CCAAUAGCGUAUAUUAAAGUUGUUGCGGUUAAAAAGCUCGUAGUUGAAUUUCGGGGUUAGUAGGUUGGUCAUGCCUCUGGUAUGUACUGGUCUCACUGAUUCCUCCUUCCUGAUGAGCCGUAAUGCCAUUAAUUUGGUGUUGCGGGGAAUUUGGACUGUUACUUUGAAAAAAUUAGAGUGUUUAAAGCAAGCCAACGCUUGAAUACAUUAGCAUGGAAUAAUGAAAUAGGACGUUCGAUCCUAUUUUGUUGGUUUCUAGGAUUGACGUAAUGAUUAAUAGGGAUAGUUGGGGGCAUUAGUAUUCAAUUGUCAGAGGUGAAAUUCUUGGAUUUAUUGAAGACUAACUACUGCGAAAGCAUUUGCCAAGGAUGUUUUCAUUAAUCAAGAACGAAAGUUAGGGGAUCGAAGACGAUCAGAUACCGUCGUAGUCUUAACCAUAAACUAUGCCGACUAGGGAUCGGAUGAUGUUAAUUUUUUAAUGACUCAUUCGGCGCCUUACG
rnacentral:rRNA from 1 species